GUGGGGCUGGCGCCUGAGUGCCAGGUUCGGCCGGCUCUGCUGCCCUCUGUCCUGGGCCCAUCCAAGCAUAGCUGGCAGCGAUCCGGACAGAGGGGGGUGCCCACCGUGGAGAAGGUUCAGAGCCCAUGACUUCAGCCCCUCCCCACCCACAGAUGCAGGAGACUGAGGCACAAAGAGGAGGUGCCUCACUAGGGCCGGCUUGGGUUUAUAGUGUGCCCUCGGAAAGCUCUGGAAGAAUGGAGUCUACGUUUCGGCUCAAGCUGCAGCCAGAAGCAGCCAUGGGAACCCAGCACCCAGCCAGACCCGAGCCUCCUGGGCCGCUGAAAAACAAACCAGACCAGAGCCCCCAAGACGGGACCCGUGUCAGCAGAGCUAUGGGGAGAAUUGCACGGCGCGUGCCUUCUGCUGCUUAAAUCCAUCCCGCUAAGUGCUGGGGGCUUUAUGCGCUAUGGGACUCUCAGUCCGGGGAAAGGCCUUUUAAUAAGUUAUUAUUAAAACCAUUUGCCUUUUCACUGUUUGCAUAUAUAAUUCUUGAAAUAUCUCCUUCCUAAUGAGCCCGGAUAUUGAUAUUCAACAGAGUUCUCUCCCCUUCGAGGCCCAUCAUCCCUGUCAUAAAGCUGCCCUGGCGAGGGCCCACCUGGGAGGGGAGAGGGGUUUACAAUCCCCCCGCCAAGCUUGAGGGGCAGGAGCUGUAACGUGUCCACGGGAAGCUGCAGGCUGCCAGAGGGCAGGAGGCCCGAGUGUGCCAGUCAUCAGUACUUACAGCUCCUUCCUCGUGCGGGACACUGCUGGGGUUGGGGCGUGGCAGGCGGUGAGGUGGAGGGUCCCAGCUCCUGAGCUCCAGCCUUCGAGGGAGACAGACUCAUGAAUCACCACCGUGCAAGUGCUGGGAAUAUUCCUGGGACAGGGAGCACACAUGGAGGCCUCUCCACGCCCAAGGAAGGGAAGGGACAGCACUGGAGGCACCAAACGGACAAGAGUUCGGUGCAGCUCAGAAACUGAAACAGGGGCUCCUGCUGGCUGCAGUGCAUGCGAUGGAUGGAGUGGCAGAAUGGGAGCCAGAGGACCCGAGAGGAGACCUGUGCAUGGGUCUAGGCCUCCCGAGGACCGAACGAGUCCUCAGACAGCACCAGGGAAUGGACCCUGGUCUGGGCCAGCCUCUCCUUCCAGGAUGAAGAAAUGAGGAAAAUCCAACAGUGGAACUCAUACAACUUUGAAGACCAGGAGGAAAAGAACUGUUUCCCUGAAAAUGCAAGGCGGCUUUGUCUACUUAGCUUCUCCAUUAGCUUGAAUUCAACCUGAAGGGUCUUUGCAUUUUGAUUUUAAUAGCAGUUGCAGCUUCCUAAAGAGGCCAGGAUCUUAACACGCCCCUCAGCAGUGUAUUAGAGACCUUUCUCCAUCUCCCUGCCAGCAAAGUGUGUUACAGUUUUCGUUAAAAUUCUUUAUGUGGCCUGAUGGGUGUAAUGAUGUCUCUGUUGUGCAAAUAUGCCCUUCCCUGGCUGCUCGUGACUUCAGGCAUCUUUUCAGGUUUGCUGGAUUUAUUUGCUCUGACUCACUUCUGCCCAUUCGUAUCUCUUGCCCACUUUAUUGCUGGUUGUCUGGCUUUUUCCUGUGGGUUCAUAAACGCUUACUGUAUAUUUGAGGCAUUAACACCUUAUUGGUCAUCUGCGUUAAAAAUAUUUUUUGUCAGCUACUUGGGAGGCUGAGGCAGGAGAAUUGCUUGAACCCGGAAGGUGGAGGUUGCAGUCAGCCGAGAUCACGCCAUUGCACUCCAGCCUGGUGACAGAGCAAGACUCCGUCUCUCUCUCUCUCUCUCUCUCUCUCUCUCUGUCUCUCUCUCUCUCUCUCUCUCUCUCUAUAUAUAUAUAUAUAUAUAUAUACACACGUACAUGUACAUAUAUAUACGUAUAUAUAUGUUUCUUUUUUGUGAUCUCUUUUGCCAUAGACAUAUUUUGAGUUUGCUAAAGUAAACUUUAAAAAUCAAAGCAUAUACAAAUACAGAUGAGUACACGCUUUAGAAGUGUAUACUGUGAUGAAUUUUGACUGACUGAGCACACCCAUGUGAUCUCCAGCAAAUCAAGAUUUAGAAAGAACGCGAUUGCCCCCUCCCGCCCUUCACAGCGAUCAGCCCCUGGAGGUGAACCCUGUCCUGAACUCCUGGCUCCAAAGAUUAGCUUUGAGCUUUACCUAGAUGAAUUCACACUGGCUGUACUCUUUCCUGAUUAUGAAAAUAACAUGGUCAUUUACACAAUUUAGAAAACAUAGCAAUGUAUAAAGAAGAAAGCAUUUGUGUGGUUUAAUAUACUUUCUACAUUCAUCAUCCAUUUCUACUUUUUUCUUCUGUGAGUUGCCUAUGAGGUCUUUACCUCUUUUUCCCACUGAAAGCUUGGCUUUAAAAAAUAAUUGUGUUAAAGCACCCUUCCUACAGUAAGGAUAUGAACUCUCUGUUACCUUUGUUACUUGUAUUUUUUCCUGACUUCUUAUUUGCUUAAUUUUAUUAUUUGAGGUAUGAAUACUUUCCCAUUUUAGAUAAAAUUUUCCUUUGUUAUUUGUUUUCAUACUUGCUAUGAAAUGUUUCAAAGGGAAAUAUGUUUAUUCCUUUUGAAACUCACGUUGAAACUGAAUCCCCAAGGUAACAGUAUUGAGAGGCGGGGCCUUUAGGAGGCGGGUAAUCCCUUCGUGGAUUGGUAGAUCAGUGGGUUCUCACAGGAGGGGUUGGUUACCACAAGCAUGGGGCUGUUAUAAUGGCCACGCUCUGAUGCAGUACGAGGCCCUGGCCAGAAGCCCAUCGGAUGCGGCUCCUGAACCUGAGGCCUCCCAGCUUCCAGAACUGGCAGAAACAAAUGCCUUUUCUUAAUAAAUUCCCCAGCCUCAGGUACUCUGUUAUAGCAGCAGAAGAUGCUCUAAGACAAUAGAGUACUUUAAAAGAUCUUACCCAGCUUACUAUAAAGUCAGUUAAACGUUCACCUCUAUUUUCUUUGAAAGAUUUUAUGGCUUCUUUUCAACGUUCAGCUUGUCAAUCUAUUUGGAAUUUACUUUGGGAUAUGGUUUGGAGUGACACUCUUAACUUGAUUUUUUUCCCAAGGAGUCACUCUUUUAAGCAUUAUUAAUUGAAAAUUCCAUCCUCAGUCUAAUCGUCCGUAACACAACUUUGUCCACGUGUUCAGCCUUUGCUAGAAGCGUCUUUUUCAGGGGCAUCCUCUACCUGUCAUCGGCUGCACCAUGAAGUUCCUGUUUUGAUUGCUUUCUCACUUGUUUUAAUAUCCCCAAAGGCAAGCCUCCUCCACUGCCCCUCUUUCCAAAAAUGUAGAAUUAUUCUUAUCCCUUUCUUCUUUCAUCUUCAGAAUUAUUUAGUUAAGGUUUUGGAGUCGCAUUAAUUUGACUUAUUUACAGUGUAGUUGGUCAGAAGUACACCCCAUCUCUCCUCAUUGUUUCUUCUUCGUCACAUCUCAUUUCAGCGAAUCAAAGUUUUCUGUUUGCUGCAGCAUCUUUCCUGCUGGAGUCUGUCAAUGCUCUGAGUGCAAGAUGAGAUGGUCUCAGAUAUUUUGUCCUCAGGGACUUGUGCGGUGCUUGGCAUGUCGUGGGACUCCAUGGACAGAUGGAGCGACACACUGGGGACUGACGAGGGGGCCCCCCACCCCUUUUCAGAAAUCACAUUGCUGUGUAAAAUUUUAUUUCACAAAUGGCUCUCUUGCUUAAAACUGUUUGAGAACUCAUACCUCUGUGCAAAACACUAAGCCGCCAGUAGUGAGAUGAAGCUCUCAGCUCCAGGAAGGGAGAUAUUGGAAAUCGGGGAAUGUUUCUGGCAACCUCAGCUUCCCAACACGUGGGUGGUCUUCGGAUCCACUUACACAUAAAACCCAGGCAAUGUUGAACUGUUUUAAAGGGAAAGGGGAGUAACGCGAGUGGAAGCGAUCAUGAAGUGUCUCUUUUCAUGCGGAACAUUCCAGUUGAGCCAUCUCACCAUUCUUAAGGAAGAAGGUUGAGGGAAGCAGUGGCGGAUGGGUGGUCUGGGCAAGGUGAGGUCACCCGGGGGCUCCCCCACCAGCUGAUGUAGGUGGAGAGACGGCCUUCACCUCCCUAGAAGCAGCAAAUGGGGCAUAUUCUCUUUUCUUGGUGGCUUCAAAGAGCACAGAAGAGUAUAUUUCCUGGUGUAAAUUCACUCGCAAGACUUGAUUCUUUUUCCUCCUGCCAAAGGAAUUUCCAUUCAGUAUCUUCUACUGGGGCAGAGUUUCUUUCAAGCAAUGCAUUUCCUGAGGAGUGAGACUGGCAAACUCUGUGGUCUUUGAUGAGCCUCACUGUUGAAGGGAAAACAGCCCUUUUCUUUCUUGUUCCUUCAACCCUCACUGACAGUAAUUGGCUGUUGCCUCUUACGAUUUCUCCAGAGAAAUGGAAAUAGCAGCUCAGAGUCCUAAAACAAUGUCCUUUGAUCUAAAAGUUCCAGGAAAUAAAACACCUUUGCAGUUAUGGAGUCCAGACAGGGACGCAUUUGCAGAAGGUCCCGGAGCUCGGCUGCUGCCCCUUGCACGUCAAGUGUGGCGUCCUCAGGCCACCAUGGGGAGUCCUCCACGCAGUCUGGCUCUCUUUCUGCUUGCAGACGUCUGCAAAUGACUCCACGGAUGACAUGCACCCUCACAGCCCACACCUCAGUGCGUGUCACAGUGACCUAUUCCUAGGACUAUUGCAACAGCCUCGAAGUGCCUCCUUUCCCAGACCUCUUCCUGCUCAAAUUCACCUUCACCUGCAUGGCAGAGCCUCCAUGUGAAGUGUGGAGAUUCCUCCAGAAGCAGCCAGGGAAAGCCAGCCGGAGCAGGGGCUGCUGGCAAGGUCUGGUUUUCCGGGUGCUGGAAGCCCAGCUCAUCCAGAGGACGGCCCAUCACACUGCAUUCUCGGGAAGACAGCAUCCCGUGUAAGGGGCUCCCCCCACCCCGUAUUCACAGACCUGACAGCAGGCAUGUUUGCUAGUCAGGUAAGAUGUAUCUGGCUGUUAUGGGCUGAGCUGUGUCCCACUCAAUUAAUAUAUUUUCAUAUAUUGAAGUUCUAACCUCAGUACCUCAGAGUGUGACUGUAUUUGGAGGCAGGGUCUUUAAAGAAGGAAUGAAGUUAUAGUGAGGUCACUGGAGUGGGCCCUAGUGACUGGUGUCCUUAUAGGAAGAGGAAAUUGGGACACAGCACCCAGGGAGGGAUGCCCAAGUGAGGACACAGCGGGAGGAUGGUGUCUACAAGCCAAGGGGAGAGACCUCAGAAGAAACCACUCCUGCUGCAACCUUGAUCUUGGACUUAGGGCCUCCAGAACUGUGAGGAUACCUGCUGUUCAAGCCCCUCGUCUGGGGUAUGUUGUCAUGACGGCCUGAGCGGGCUACCACACAGGCUGACUAGACCUCGGGCUGUUCUUUAACUUCUCGCAUAAGAUUAAAGGAUUCCUUUAGAUUGUCUAAACCACUGGUAGAAUGGGAAGUAGGUGUAGUGUAUUUAAACCAGUUAGUUACACAGAUUACACAGUGAACUCAAGUCAUGGUCCUCAGGCUGGGCUGCCUGUGGGGCUAUCUGGGGAGCUUUCACAAACACGAAGCUUGGGUCCCAUUUUCAUGGUUCUGGUUGAUUGGCCUGAGGUGCAGCCAGGGCUCUGCAAGCUUCACAGAUAAUUGUCACGCAUGGCCAUUCUGUGUGUUCUACAUCAGCCCCCAGGUCCCCAUCAAGAAAUGUGCUAGACACUCUCCUCCUGGAGGCCCAGAUGCUCUGCUUGGAGGCUGGGACCUCUCCGGGCGGUGUGUGUCUGUGAGGGGCUCUGCAAGGGGAUUAAAGACCCUUGUUGGCAAGAAGACUUAUUUCCUGUGCAGUGGAACAAUAUUCUCCUAGGCCACACACGCA
rnacentral:lncRNA from 10 species